ensembl:lncRNA
AUGCAGAAAAUUGAGUUAAUUAUUUUCCACAGAUCCAGCAGAUUAUUAUUUUUGGUUUGUGCAAGACCUUGUAUUAGUUUCCUAUUGCUGUUGCAGCAAAUCAAUCACCAUUAUCUUACUCCAGAAUAUUUUCAUCAUCUCAAAAGUAAACCUCACACCCAUUAGUAGUUACUCCCCAUUCCCUUUUUCCCAGGCCCUAAAAACCACUGAUCUACUUUCUGACCCUAUGANNNNNNNNNNNNNNNNNNNNNNNNNNNNNNNNNNNNAUUUUAAAAUCUUUAAUUCUUACAUGCAUUCCCAAACAUGAACCCCCCUUUUAAGUCUGGUCUGGUUCUGAACUCCUGAGUUCUGUAUACUGUGAAUCAAGCACUUUUUUACUUCUCCAUUCCUCUAAUGAUGGACUCCUAGGGUGCCUCCACUGAGCUCUCUCCACAAGCAGCAUUGUGGAUAUGCCCCCAUAAACCUGUACAGCAGAGUCUCUGCAGAGCAUUGCUGUAUUCUAGGUAUGCACAUACAACUCUUCACUAACUAUUGCUUUCCAAGGUGGCUAUUUCAUUCCACUUCAGACUCCUGACAGCAGUACAUAAGGAUUUCCUUUUUACAACUUCCUUACCAACACUUGGUUUUGUUCAAUAAAAUUUGCCCAUCUUAUCGGUGUAUAGAAACAUCCAACUGUUCUUUUAAUUUGCACUUCUCUGAUCUUUAGAUAGGUUGAUUAUCUCUUCAUAAACUUUUUAGUCUUUCAACUUUCCCAUUACAGAUGUGCAGUUAAAACCCUCUGCCACUUUAUUAUUGUGUUUUCCACUUUUUCCUUGUUGAUCUGCAGGAGUCCCUUAUUUAUUACAGAUAUUCAAACAUUGCAAAUACCUUCUUCUUAUCUGUGACUCAUCUCAUCUGUUCAUUUGUCUCUGACAUCGUCUGUUGAACAGAAAUCCUUAACACAGUUGCAUCCAUUAUUUUUUACCUUAUAUUUUAUGCUUUUAGGUCUUGUUUAAGAAAUACUUUUCCAGCUCAGAUUUCUCAAAGAAAUUCUCGUAUAUUUUCUUCCAGUAGUUAUAUAAUUUUACCUUUUAUAUUUAAGUCUAUAAUGUUUAUGGCAUUUUAUGUGAUAUAAAAAUAGGUAUCCAAGUUAAUUUCAUAUAGUAAUCUAGUUAUACUGAUACCAUUUAUUGGUUCAUGUUUUCUCUGCUACUUUACCCUGUAUCAAGUAGCCCUAUGAAGAGAUGACAUGAGAGGUCUAAAGCUUCUUGCCAACAGUCAUGUAAGUGAAUCAUACUUGAAGUAGAUCCUCUAGCCCCAAACAAUCCUUCAGAUGACUAUACAUCCUGCUCACAUCUUAAUUACAACCUCAUGAAAGACUGAGCUGAAAGAACCCAGCAAAUCUACUGAAUUCCUGACUUACAGAAACUAUUUGAGAUAAUAAAUAUAUAUUAUAGUUUUAGGCCAUUAAGUUUUGGAUAGUUUGUAACACAGCAAAGAAUAACUGCUGCUGCUGCUGCUAAGUUGCUUCAGUCGUGUCUGACUCUGCGACCCNNNNNNNNNNNNNNNNNNNNNNNNNNNNNNNNNNNNNNNNNNNNNNNNNNNNNNNCUGGAGUGGGUUGCCAUUUCCUUCUCCAAUGUAUGCAUGCAUGCUAAGUCUCCUCAGUGGUGUCCGACUCUGUGCAACCCUAUGGACAGCAGCCCACCAGGCUCCUCCAUCCACAGGAUUCUAUAGGCAAGAAUACUGGAGUGGGUUGCCAUUUCCUUCUCCAAAAGCCACCUCAUUGACAUAAAUUCAGAUGUGGUUGAAACAGGUUGGUUAUGAGUAUCAACAGACAUUU